UUGUAAAGAUAUGUUUAGCUGUAGGGCUUGUUCUUAUCAAUAAAAUUAUGUGGUAAGGCAUAUUGAUGAA
rnacentral:ncRNA from 1 species